GAUGAACGCUGGCGGCGUGCCUAAUACAUGCAAGUCGAGCGAACAGACGAGGAGCUUGCUCCUCUGACGUUAGCGGCGGACGGGUGAGUAACACGUGGAUAACCUACCUAUAAGACUGGGAUAACUUCGGGAAACCGGAGCUAAUACCGGAUAAUAUAUUGAACCGCAUGGUUCAAUAGUGAAAGACGGUUUUGCUGUCACUUAUAGAUGGAUCCGCGCCGCAUUAGCUAGUUGGUAAGGUAACGGCUUACCAAGGCGACGAUGCGUAGCCGACCUGAGAGGGUGAUCGGCCACACUGGAACUGAGACACGGUCCAGACUCCUACGGGAGGCAGCAGUAGGGAAUCUUCCGCAAUGGGCGAAAGCCCGACGGAGCAACGCCGCGUGAGUGAUGAAGGUCUUCGGAUCGUAAAACUCUGUUAUUAGGGAAGAACAAAUGUGUAAGUAACUAUGCACGUCUUGACGGUACCUAAUCAGAAAGCCAUGGCUAACUACGUG
rnacentral:rRNA from 1 species